rnacentral:tRNA from 2 species
AAAACCUUAAGUUAAUAAAACUAUUAACCUUCAAAGUUAAAAAUAUAAAUUAAAUUUUUUAGGUUUUA